ACAAUGAUUUCCCUAGUAACGGCGAGUGAAGAGGAAAGAGCUCAAAGUUGGAACCUGUUUGGCUUAGCUAAACCGGAUUGUAAACUGUAGAAGUGUUUUCCUGACACGCCUGGUAAAAAAGUCCUUUGGAACAGGGCAUCAUAGAGGGUGAGAAUCCCGUGUUUGGCCAGAGCUGUUGUCUUUUGUGAUACAUUUUCAAAGAGUCAGGUUGUUUGGGAAUGCAGCCUAAAUUGGGUGGUAAAUCUCACCUAAAGCUAAAUAUUUGCGAGAGACCGAUAGCGAACAAGUACCGUGAGGGAAAGAUGAAAAGAACUUUGAAAAGAGAGUUAAACAGUAUGUGAAAUUGUUAAAAGGGAACCGUUUGGAGCCAGACUGGCUUGACUGUAAUCAAUCUAGGCUUCGGCCUGGAUGCACUUGCGGUUUAUGCCUGCCAACGACAAUUUUUUUUGAGGGAAAAAACUAUUAGGAAUGUGGCCCCCUUCGGGGGGUGUUAUAGCCUUUUAGAAAAUACCUUGAAUUGGAUUGAGGAACGCAGUGAAUGCCUUUAGGCAAGAUUGCUGGGUGCUUUCGUUAAUAAAUGCUAGAAUUUCUGCCUUGGGUGGUGCUAGUGUUUAAAGAUGGAACUCGCCUGGUAUAUUUUUUAUUCGCUUAGGUUGUUGGCUUAAUGACUCUAAAUGAC
rnacentral:rRNA from 1 species